AUUGAACGCUGGCGGCAUGCUUACACAUGCACGUCGAACGGCAGCGCGGGCUUCGGCCUGGCGGCGAGUGGCGAACGGGUGAGUAAUGCAUCGGAACGUGCCCAGUAGUGGGGGAUAGCCCGGCGAAAGCCGGAUUAAUACCGCAUACGACCUGAGGGUGAAAGCGGGGGAACGAAAGGCCUCGCGCUAUUUGAGCGGCCGAUGUCGGAUUAGCUAGUUGGUGGGGUAAAGGCUUACCAAGGCGACGAUCCGUAGCUGGUCUGAGAGGACGACCAGCCACACUGGGACUGAGACACGGCCCAGACUCCUACGGGAGGCAGCAGUGGGGAAUUUUGGACAAUGGGGGCAACCCUGAUCCAGCCAUGCCGCGUGCGGGAAGAAGGCCUUCGGGUUGUAAACCGCUUUUGUUCGGGAAGAAAUCCUCUGGGCUAAUACCCCGGGGGGAUGACGGUACCGGAAGAAUAAGCACCGGCUAACUACGUG
rnacentral:rRNA from 1 species